rnacentral:rRNA from 1 species
AGAUUGAACGCUGGCGGCAUGCCUAACACAUGCAAGUCGAGCGGCAGCGCGGGGGCGACCCUGGCGGCGAGCGGCGGACGGGUGAGUAAGGCAUCGGAAUCUGCCCUGAUGUGGGGGAUAACGUAGGGAAACUUACGCUAAUACCGCAUACGCCUACGGGUAAGACGGGGAGUCGUAAGACCUCGCGCUGGUGGAUGAGCCUACGUCCGAUUAGUUAGUUGGUGGGGUAAAGGGCCGUACCAAGGCUACGAUCGGUAGCUGGUCUGAGAGGACGACCAGCCACACUGGGACUGAGACACGGCCCAGACUCCUACGGAGGGCAGC